AUUGAACGCUGGCGGAAUGCUCUACACAUGCAAGUCGAACGGCAGCACGGGGCAACCUGGUGGCGAGUGGCGAACGGGUGAGUAAUACAUCGGAACGUGCCCAAUCGUGGGGGAUAACGUAGCGAAAGUUACGCUAAUACCGCAUACGAUCUAAGGAUGAAAGCGGGGGAUCGAAAGACCUCGCGCGAAUGGAGCGGCCGAUAUCUGAUUAGGUAGUUGGUGGGGUAAAGGCUCACCAAGCCGACGAUCUGUAGCUGGUCUGAGAGGACGACCAGCCACACUGGGACUGAGACACGGCCCAGACUCCUACGGGAGGCAGCAGUGGGGAAUUUUGGACAAUGGGCGCAAGCCUGAUCCAGCCAUUCCGCGUGCAGGAUGAAGGCCUUCGGGUUGUAAACUGCUUUUGUACGGAGCGAAAAGGCUCUCUCUAAUACAGGGGGCUCAUGACGGUACCGUAAGAAUAAGCACCGGCUAACUACGUGCCAGCCGCCGCAGUAAAAC
rnacentral:rRNA from 1 species